rnacentral:rRNA from 1 species
GAGUUUGAUCGUGGCUCAGAACGAACGCUGGCGGCAGGCCUAACACAUGCAAGUCGAACGCCCUAGCAAUAGGGAGUGGCAGACGGGUGAGUAACACGUGGGAACCUUCCCUAUAGUACGGAAUAGCCCAGGGAAACUUGGAGUAAUACCGUAUACGCCCGAAAGGGGAAAGAUUUAUCGCUAUAGGAUGGGCCCGCGUCGGAUUAGCUAGUUGGUGAGGUAAUGGCUCACCAAGGCAACGAUCCGUAGCUGGUUUGAGAGAACGACCAGCCACACUGGGACUGAGGCACGGCCCAGACUCCUACGGGAGGCAGCAGUGGGGAAUCUUGGACAAUGGGCGCAAGCCUGAUCCAGCCAUGCCGCGUGAGUGAUGAAGGCCUUAGGGUUGUAAAGCUCUUUUGGCGGGGACGAUAAUGACGGUACCCGCAGAAUAAGUCCCGGCUAACUUCGUGCCAGCAGCCGCCGUAAG